GAAAACAGAAUGGUGGUUGCCAGGCUAAGGGAGCAGAGAGUGGGUAUUAUUUAAUGGGUAUAGAGUUUCAGUUUGACAAGACGAAAAGAGUUAUGGAGAUGGAUGGUGCUGGUAGUUGUACAGCAUUCUGAAUGCAUUUAAUACUACAGAACUGUACAUUUUAGUUUACAUAUAUUUUACCACAAUAAACAUAAGUGAAACAAAAAGCAAGAGAAAACAUGAAAUUAGGGACGAUGAAGAGGAACACAAAGGAAGAUGUAACUUACAAAGUGAUGAUUCAGCUCUCUUGUCAGGGGGCAGGCUCGUGGGUAUUAACUAUAUUGUUUUAUAACUACCGUUUUGUUAAAUUGUCUUUUCGUAUGCAUGAAUAUCGAAUUAGAAAAUAGAGGGAGUAAAUAUUAAAAGGUAAGAGACAGACAGACGGUCGCUUGGGCGCAGGCCCACGGGGUCAGUGACCAAGGCCCCCGGGCACAGGACUCUGCUUGCGGGGGCGGGCGCCGCGCAGGAGCGGGAGGCCGCGGAGGAGCUGCAGCACCGCGUCUGCCCACACGAGGGCGCCCCGCGCUGCCACAUCCAGCCUGGGGUUCUGGACUGGAGGAAAGCCUGGGAGGGAGCCUUCUGGGGGGUUGGGGGCGAGUAGGGAGAGGAGGUUCUGUCUGCUCCCCGGCCGCCCCCCUCUCCCGGUUCUUCGUGUGGUCACCCUCGAAGAAGGAUUAUUUUGAGCUGAUUAUUUUGACGAAGAACAGACACCGGAGAAACUCCAGAAACCGUGGAACUUACUCUUUUGAACGGGAAAUUUAGAGGAAAUCUCUAAGUGUGUCUCCGUCUCCGCACUGGGAAGAGAAGAUAACUCUUAAGUCUCCAGAGAAGCUUAACCAAUGGAGGGAGCAGUGAUUUAAAUCUGCCUAACAAGCUUUAUCCUUGUUUACCCUGCUUUCCUUGCUAAUCUCCCAUACAGACCUCCCCCCUCUCACCUUUUUGUUCUUUUGUCUUUAGCUGAAGAUGGUAUUUAAGCUUCUGGUUUAGGCCACCUGCGAGGGUUAACUUGUUUUUCUCUUGUCCCAAAUAUACACGAGGUAUACAUGUGAAUAAACUUGUUUUUCUCUG